AUUUACGUUAAUUUAAUUAUUUUUACAAAUUUCUAAAACGCUUAGCCCAGUCUUAAGAAGUUCAUAACAUUUAAAAGAAGCUGCGCUAAAACUAAUAAGUACUAGUGCUUACGGCUUACACCUAUUUUGAGAAUUGGGUUGCAAUGUUUUCAUUUGCAAAUUGAUUUAUCAUAUUAAUUCCAUUACAUAUAAGAAUGAUAACAAGUUUGUUUGGAUAUCUACUUCUCGUUGGCUGUCGAUUACGAGGAGAGCAGCAAGAGGGCCGAUGAUUGCUCCGUGCAAAUCUACAAUUUGGUGUAUGCAGUGUCGUUUGAUUAUUAUGGUCUUACUACACGGAAGUAACUGAUGUCGGAAAUUUUCAUCAUAGAUAUGAGCAUAGAUAUCGACAAGAAGACCGUUUUCAUAUGCGUACACCUCCUUUUCGGAAACUGUCAUCUUCAGAGAAAUAUACUUGCUUGUAGAUAUAUAAUUUAUGGAAUAAUGUAUACAGUUUAAUGUUAACAAUGGCAGAAAUAAUAAUAAUUACAAAACA